GCGCCCGUAGCUCAAUGGUAGAGCUGUAGCC
rnacentral:tRNA from 3 species